AUGUGUGUUUUGUCAAAAAAACGCGUUAGUGAGACAAUGCAGCUCCUACAGUUAUCUGUAUGAAGACCAAGACAUGGCACGUGACAUUCCUGGGGAACCCCUGUGUUGAUGACAAUCACGCUGGACUUAACAAGACCUGUCUUAGUGUUCUGUGGUUUCUGAGUUAAGAAGCUGAACAUCCCCCUAUGGACGGGAAACUUAGCGUAGUAUCGUGUGGCUUCACUUCUAUUUUACUUGUUGAAAAGACCGCUUUGUGUAUUUCCUAUGAUGUUCAGUUGCCGCUUUGCUUCCUUUAUGCACCCAUCUUUGGCGUCACAGUGCCGCCCGGUGUGAGGAAACAUUUUGUUUUGAAAAAAAUCACAACAGAAAAUAUACAGACAAAACAGAAAGCCACUCAUACUGAUUUUAGUUGUUCCUAUACUCUUCCUCUCGCUUGUAUCUCACAGCAGCAGAAUAGAGAGGGAUGGCGCGUGGUGCGGCUCUGUUGGCGACGCUGAUGGUGGUGGUGGUGGUGGUGGUGGCGGUGGUGGUGGUGGUGGUGGUGGUGGUGGCGACUGCUGCUGAUGUGCCAUUCGUUGAUACCAGGGAUGGCCGCGUCUCAGGCAUUGUGGAGGAAUCGGUGAAGGGCCGAGACUUUUCGUCAUUCUACGGCAUUCCCUACGCUCGGCCACCACUGGGGAGGCUGCGAUUCAAGGAUCCCGAACCCUUCCCAGACUGGGAGGCCAUGGGGGAAGCCUCCAUUCCCGCCCCGCCGUGCAUCCAGUAUUUCUCCGCAACAGAGAGAGUCGGAAUAAAGGAAGUGCUGGGUGAGGAGGAUUGCCUGUACCUCAACGUGUUUGUGCCCAAGAUUAAUGAAGACGCUAGCUUCCCGGUGAUGGUUUGGCUUCACGGGGGAAGGUUCACCCAUGGCAGUGCCCAGGAGUACCCUCCUCACGUCCUCCUGGACCACGACAUCGUGCUGGUGGUGGUGCAGUACCGGCUGGGUGUCCUGGGCUUCCUGUCUACCGAGGACUUGGCGAUGCCUGGGAACCUGGGCCUCAAGGACCAGACCCUGGCGCUCCGGUGGGUGAAGACCAACAUUCACCUCUUUGGCGGAGACAACAUGCGGGUCACCAUCUUCGGUGAGAGUGCCGGCAGCGCCGCCGCCCACCUCCUCAUGUUCGUCCCGGAAGUUCAAGAUCUUUUCUCCCGUGCUAUCAUGCAGUCUGGAACAGCACUGACGUCCUUGACUAUCAACAAUAAUCCUCGCAAAGAGGCAAUUGAAGUGGGCGGCAGCCUUGGGUGUCCCACAGACCAGGGCAGCAACACGCUCCUUCUGUGCCUGCAGGGGCUGGAUGCAAAGGCUCUCUUUCCUCUUUACGAAAGCUCCAGAAGAUGGGGCGUGCUGCCGCUCACCUUCACGCCCUGGGUGGACGGCCGUUUCCUGCCGCGUCACCCUGCCCUGCUGAUAAGUGAGGGGCGCAGCACCCGGGUGGACAUCAUAUCAGGCAUUACCAGAGACGACGGGGCUCUUUUCGCCUUGCCUGCAUUGGCAAAGAAACAGUUACUGGAGGAGCUACAGCACAAUUUUAGCAUGGCCGGGCCUGCGUCCCUUCAGCUUGAGGGCAGGAGUGAGGACCCCGAGGCUGUAGCCCGCCAGCUGUACCUCCACUACUUGGGCACCACGCACGUCACCGAGGCGCACGCUGACGACUUCAUGAGGAUGUUCACUGACCACUACUUCGCCGUGCCUCAUGACCGCAUCUCCGCCCACCACGCAGGGAAGAUUUACCGCUACGAGCUGCAGCACUACGCCCAGCUCUCCUUCGGCCAACUGAUCUGCCCUUCCUGCGACAACAAGUGGGUGAGUCACGUAGACGAUCUGUACUACUUGUUCCGCGGCGGCCCUCUCUUGUCGCCACGAACAGCACCCCCACAGCGCCCCAAGGACUUACAGCUGCCCGACGACCUCACCCUCAGGGACAUCAUCACGACUCUGUGGACCAACUUUGCUGCCACGGGGUGAGAUGGAGGACGGAGGUCCUGAUUUCAGAAGUCUUUAUGGAGGACUCUGAGAGUUUUAGAGUGGGAACCCAACCCCUGAUAGCUCUCUGGGCUUCACGUGGGAAGCCAGCACACCAGAGAACCUGCAGUACCUCUCCCUCACGCCCUCGCCCUCCAUGAAGCCAGACGACUGCAAGGAG